GGUUCUUUGGGUGAGUGGUUUAGCCAGUAGAUUGCAAAUCUAUAUACGGUGGUUCAAAUCCAUCAGGAACCU
rnacentral:tRNA from 1 species